CCCAGUCAAAAGGCACAUAAGACGCCCACAUUGUUAAUAAAUGCACAGACAGUAUCACGCUGUGCUCAAAGCAACGAAACACUAUAUGAAAUGUUAAAUAUAGAUCAGAAAGCACCGAACAGGACGACGCCAAAUGGGCUAGUGUGCGCAGGCAGACCAGAUUUUUGCACAUCAAGUCCAUCUUCUAGAGCAUAAACUACGGAGUAAAGAGGAGCGUAUUUUGGAGUUGGAAACCGGUAACGCUCUCCUUCAUUUGAGACUCGCUGAGUGUCUGGGUAAACUCUGCCAUGAGAGGGAGGAGGAAAUCCAUGUCCAGAGACAGAAACAUCAGCAGCAGAGGAAGGUGCAGAAGUCCACACACGCAGCUCUCUCCAAACUUCUGUCUGAAGUUCAGAUGCUGAAACAGGACUUGAGGGAUGUUUUUGCCAUCUACGUGGGGUUUGCUAAAGAGCUGGAGGAACAAAGCAAGCAGCUGUUUGAAUGUGUGGGCACUGCCAGAAAUGCUAUUCAGGAUUUCCAAAGUGAUGACCUUCAGA
ensembl:lncRNA